CCCACCCCCACGGUAUCAUCACCAUCGUGUUGCGCGCUAUGACACGAUCGCGAUGAAGAAACUGUAAACAGCGCGAUGCGCGACUUUGAAUUUAAAACGGAAAGAAAGUAAAAAGAAAAUAUCAUGAAAUUCCUUUCUAUGUCAUCAUCAUCAUCAAUGAAAGCUCGUCGCCGUGGUCGUGCGAAAGUAUUUCGAUUCCUCGACAUCUUCCCACCCACCAACCUGCUGUGGCACGUGAACCAUCCCAGGGUUGAAUUCUCCGCUUGGUAUUGUCGUGGUUGGGCGAGCUUCCGAUACGGGGGUUCGCUCUUCCGAUUGUUUCAAGAUCGACACCGCUUAUUAAAACUCUCCCACAUUAAUCUGUCUCGUUGGGGUGAAACUUGACGCCGGGGUGCAAUUUAGCUCUCGCUUUUUGCGAUUUUUUUGCAACCCCCUGCACGUCCCAUUAGCAUAUAUUUUUUGCCUGUUGUUGUUUUCAUUGGAGCGCUCCUGCGCGAAUGUUUUUAUUAUGCAGCUGAGCUAUUUUUUUGUUUUUGCUUUUCUUCGCCCUCUAUUGUUUGCCGAUCGCGAUUGGCGUGUACUUUCUAAAAGGUGACCAACUUUUCAUCGGGCGCGCGCUCUUCCCACCAUCGCGCCGAUUUACGAUAUCGCGCCAUCGUAUCCAUUUUUGCAUGCAUAAACAGAUUAAAUUGAAAAAAUUUAAUAUGUGAAUUCAAGUACCGUACGGUUUCUGGCGUUUAUUUUCUCUCACAAGAUCGCGCGCGCUUUUUUUUGUCGAUCGAAGGAGGCGCGCGGACGCGAUGGUUAAACCAGUUUCGCUGCGCGCGCGGGCUAACUGUAUACAGGUGCUGGGUUGGCGGCGGGCAAAGCAUCCGAGCAGGCAGGUGGUUUUGGCAUGGUGGUUGGUACCUGUCGGCGGAUUAGGGUAGGUUACCCAUUUGUUGACUCUUUUUCAUGAGUAAGAUUAUUGUUUAAAUUUUUACUUAUUUAUUAUGAACAUUUUAACACCGAACAAUGUUAUGUUUGAAUUCCUAAUUCAAAACAAUCGAUUUAAGAAUAUUGUUGUGUUAUUUUUCGACUAUUGUUUAUGAAACGUAAUCGACGUAACACUUUAUAAUGUGACCUUCUUAAACCUUGCGGUUUCGUCAACAGAUCCACAGGCGUGUAUCGUACUUUUUGCGACAAGACUCCGCUUCCCGGGUGUCUCCUAAGUGUGACCUAUAUUUACACUUGGGCUUUUUUGCGUCAGUCACCGGCGACCUCUGGAUUGUGAGUUUAGUGCGCGGUCCGAUUGAUCUACACAGGCAGACUUUUUAGGUAUGCUUUGGCCAAAAUUUAGAGAGAAUGAUGCUAAAUUAAACAAAUGUUAUAGCAACGAUUUCCCAAAUAAAUCUAUUAAACUGACUUACAAAAUUUUUUAACCUCAAGUCCAUUCUCAUUUGUUUAGUGGGGAGGGCAUAGGAAUUGGACUUAGUAAUGCUAUGAAUUCAAACCUAAAAACAGCCUUCUACUAGCAUUUCGGUAUACUUGAACUAUACAUAAAACUACCGAAUCUACUACUACAAUUUUAAAAUUUUGUUUGCAAAUCUAACUGUUGUCAACCAGAAUGCACUUUUUUUAUCACGAUAAUUUUUUAUUUUAUAAUUGUAAUAAUAGCUUUAUCACGCAAAGAAACUUGCAAUGAGCCCGCAAGACCUGUGGGCCUGUACUAAAAAGGUCCUCAAUUAGGCAUCUUACCCUAUGCAAUGAGAGCACGCGCGCAUUCCAGAAUGUGCACCAUGAUUUCUAUUGUUCUAGUAUCGAACUCAAUGGUACUUCCCAUGACUUCCCGUUUUACUGGAAACAAAUUUGAAAGUGUGUUCUUUUUCAAAAUCUUCCAAUCAACACCAACCUAACGGAACCAUCCCAAUCCGCCUAAUUCGCACCCUGCGUACACGGAAAAAAAAUCAUUCCCGAAUUCGUGAAUUGUGUUCAUGAAUUUGAGAACCACGAAGGAAUAUUUUCACGUUUAUAGUGCAAAUGCACCAUGAAUGAAUUCCUUCGUUGUUUCCCAAAUUCAUGAACACAAUUCACGAUUACGGGAAUUGUUUUUUUUUUCUGUGUACAACCGGUCCAGCUCGCGAAGACGCAAAUAAACAGGCCGCGGCUCGGCGCUGAUAUUCAAAUGCGGAAAUGAAUUUACACCGCCGCAGAAACCAAAACCACUAUCAGCAACAGCAGCAAUAAAGAAAAACAACAACAAUGAACGCCGUAGUGUGUGUGUGUGUGUACUUGAACGCGCCGUGGAAACAAAGUUGAUUAAACUUCUCAGAGGCCGUGAACGACGCGCGAAUGAACGGAGCGUGCGGUUGUGGCGGCGACGAGCCCAUUCUUCUGGUUGGUCAAGUUUUGCUAUCUGUCCGGAUCCAUCAUAGCCAAUCGCCACCGCGCGUUAUCGACGUGGGAAGCGGUUGUCUGUGACUGUGGAGUGGUAUUGGUUUGAUUGAGAUACACUGAAAAAAUCCAACAUAGAAAAAUCAAAUGUUUUUUCACGUGAGUCACUCCAAAAACCAACACGAUAACUUCACGUGCUUUUCAUUUGAAUCUCACGUGCUUUACAUGUCAAAUUAAUGUUUAAAUCAUUCAUCUCCAGCUGAUCGUUGACAAAAAAGAAUUCACUCAUUAUUCGGAUGAUUUACACGUGAGAUUCAAAUGAAUUUCACUUAGAUUUGCCCCAAUCCGCUUGUCCUUUGGUUUUGAAGAGAAUGUCACGUGAGAUUGAAAUGAAUUGCACUUUGAUUUGCCCCAUUUGACUUUUCCUUUGAUUGCGAAGUGAAGAACACGUGAGACUCAAAUGUUUUGGUUUUUAAUUGCGGAUGGUGAAAAAUUUUCAUUACUAAGAUGGCCACGGAGGAUGAUGGUCAAAAAUUUGCUUCUGGCUGAUUUUGUAAACGAAUUUUAUCUUUUCUAAAGAUUUGUUUGCAAAUUUAAACUGAGCAUUCAAUAAGUUUUCGGAAAUCAUGUUCCAGCUUCGGCUCCGGAAUCCACACCUGAUGCGGCGAAUCGGAAGAUCCGCUCUAGUUUCAUCUAGCUGGCUAUGGAGAACUACGAGAACCAAUUAUUUCGGGCGGUGCUUCCCGACGUCCGCCAGGAAGUGCCCUCAAGUCCUACGGACCCAGCGCGGAAUCGCAAUCAGACUUUCCGACGCUGCGUAACAGUGACCUUCAGAAUCAGUGGAAAAAAUCUUAUGUAUUGUAUGUGUUUUUACUAUUUUGAAAAAUAAAUUUAUUUAUGCAAGCAAUUUUUAAAUAAUUAAAUUUCAAUCCAAAAGAAAAUACUAAAUAUUUAACACACAUGAAUUCCAAUGGAAAUCCAUUUGAAUCGCACUACAAUCUCAUCACAUAUUUAUAAGCCAAGCAUUGGAAAUUCAUGUGAGAUUUCACGUCAGAUUAACGUGUUUUUCAUUUGGAAUGACAGGUUCGUGCCAUGAUUUGAUUUAAGUGCUUUGCACAUGAAAUUCACAUGUUAAGCCGUAUGGGGCAGAUUCACGUGUAAAACAUGUGAUAUUGCUGUGUGCCUUUCUUUCA